CUUGAGGUGGGACCAGGGAUAAACACCCCUACUAUCCAUGCGUCAUUGGUAAGUAUCCUUAGAGUCCUUACAAAUAUCCCUAAUGACAUAAUUGAAAUUAUAAACAACAAAAUAAUUCACCUAAUCCCAUUUUUGACCUUUACAUCUUAUACUCCAGCUUCUUCUUUGUUUCUCACUCGAGAAAAACCAUCCGAACUCCAUCUCCAUCUCCGUCGCAAUCUCCAUCUCCAUCUCCGUCGCCGCCACAACCAACGCCACCAGCACCACCAUCGUCUCAGUGAGUUAUCAUGUAUCUCUCUUCUCUUUCUUUCCGGCAAUCACCACCACCAACAACAACACCCCGAUCGAUCCACCUGCAAUUCCACCACCGCCUCAAAAUCCACCAAUUCUUUCACCAGAUCCAUCAACAAUUCUCCCUUUUUGUCACCUAUUUGUGAAUCAAAUCCCGAAAUCUGAAUAUAAAAAUCAUCAGGAGCAGCGGUCCAUCUUCUUCUUCGUUGAAGAUUCAGGUGAGAUCCCAAUUUUAGAGAAACAUAAUGAAAUAGCUAGAUGGGAGUCUGUUGAAGUCGAGAAGAAUGGGUUUGGUUUGUAAUUUAUUUUGACUAGACAAGGAAGAUGAUUGCUGCUGUUGAUGGAAAUUAGGGUUUGAUAGUGGCUAAUUUCAAUGAAGAAUAAUGGCUUGUGAUUGUUCAGUUCGGGGUUUUCAUUGAAGAGUUACAGAGAAAUUAGGGUAUUUUUGUGGUUUCUGAAAAUUUUGGUUAAUGGGUAUGGCAGUGGUUUGUGUACUGUUGGCAGUAGUGGUGAUGUUGUAUUGAUGGAAAUGUUGAAAUUUGUUGAUUAAUUGGUUCCAGAUGAUAGUGGUGUUGGAAUGGUGAUAGUGGUGGUGCUGUUUGGAACUGAUGGUUUGUUGUUAAUAUUGGUGGUGAAGCGAGAAGGUGGAUUGCUCUUGUGUGUAUUGCAGCUAUAUAGGAGAAUCAUGAAAGCUAACCAGUUUAUAUUUGGAAAGAAGAAGAAUAUAGAAAUGAUGGUGGUGGUGGUGGUGAUUUCCUGGGAUGCUUUUGUGUUCAAAAUUGAACCAAUGGAUGUUGCAGCUGUGCUGGGGGAGACAAUAUGAAAUUAUGUUGGAUGCGUGCUAACUAUUAGGUAUGUAUGUGUUACAUAUCAUGAAUAUCUGUAUAGUUUAAUACAUGAGUAGGUGUAGAUUUUGAUAUGUCAUUUUGUAUUAACGAACCUGUGGUGCAAAGGUAGCACAACUCACUCCAUGUCAGAUGAUGUGUGUUUGACUCAUGUCGGGUUCCUUUGUAGAUAACUUGUCCUAGUUAUUUCCAUAUGUGGAGACAACUUGAUCUAGUUGCCUUCAUAUUUGGAGAUAACUUGAACAAGUUGCUUUCAAAUACGGAAACAACUCGGGCUAGUUGGCUCAAGAUUCAGAGACAAUUUUAUGCUAGUUGCUUUCACUUUAAAGUCAACUUGAGCUAGUUGGCUCCAUUUUUGUUUUGCAAUUUGUUCAUACACACUAUUUAUUGGAGACAACUUGAGCUAGUUGCCUCCGUUUUUGGUAACAACUUCAACAAGUUGCCUCCAGAUUUGGAGACAACUUCAACAAGUUGACUUCACAUGGUGGUGGUGGAAUUGGUGGUUGCUGGUGGUGAUUGGCGGCGACUGUGGAUGAAAGUGGUGGUGGUUGGUGGCGACGGUGGGUAGUAGUAGUGGUUGUCGGUGGUGGUAAUUGGUGGCGGUGGGUGUCGAUGGUGGUGGUUGGUAGCGGUUGUGGUAGUUGGCGGUGGUGGUGGUUUGUGGUGGUGGACAGUGGUGGUGGUGUCGUAGGUGAUGGUUGGCGGUGGUGGGCGACGGCGGUAGGAGGCGGCGGUGAU